GGCAAACCGAAAACGGCAAAGAUCAUUCUUCGGAGUUGUUAAAGUUUUGAAUCUCAAGAAGAUCAUUUUAACGUUCAUUAAGCGCAAGUGGAUAAGUGAAGUGAUGUCUGACAAAAUGAUGUUCCGUUGCAGCCGAUGCAACAACAUUUAUUACGCCACCGAUUGUAAUAUGAAUCAGUCCCGCACAUGCCGCGUUUGCUUGCAUGACAAUUUCCCAACCAGAAAGGUCGAACAUCAUGAAACUCCAAAAAAAGAAGCCGCGCGCAUGCGAGGUACUUCAGAAUCAUCCAAAUGAUGGAUUUUCCAAGCAACGCAUCUUUUUGUAAUAUGCGCAAACAUUUGAUUUCUCGUUUCCUCGAUUGAACACUCUUUAUAAAAUCAUAUUUUGUGAACAAUCAUCAUUGAAAUUUUGACGAGAAUCGAAUAAAAAUAUGAAAAAUGUAAAGCUAAGUGUUGUCAUUUGAAAUGAUUUUGGAAUCUAUGUAGCUAUUUUAUUUAAAAGUAUCUCAUGGAGAGUUUUAGAUUUUAAAGAGAGAGCAAAGGUGAAUAAAAAGUUCCCGAGUAUAAAAUUGAAAAAAGAAACAAUCACAGUCGAACCGAUUUGUCAUUAUCUUCUUAUAUUUCACAAAGUCAAAGGAAAAAUAUCGCAAAACUCGAAUGUUGUGAAAACAUCUUAUCGAAUAAGAACGAAUUUGAGCAUUCUUUUUAAACAAAUCUCAAUUUUCAAAACAUAUUCGGCUUGUUGAUAAAUGCCAUGCAAUAACAUGCUCUGAACAA